CAUGGGGACAGCAGGGCCGGGCCGGGCCUAGGCCGGGCAACGGGCCCAACACCCCCACUACAGGCCAACGAUCCGCAAUAUCACACUUUUGUGAUGUUAGCGGCUGAUGACAGAUUUGCUGGAAGUGCAGAAGAUCCUGUUGGUCAAGGAAUGUAAGAAUGUCAGUGAGGUACCAUUGCAGAUGUGAUUUCGUGGCAGAUUCUUGAGGCCUCAAACGUUAAUUUUUCUGCAGCAACAUUUCUACCGCUGUUGUGCCUAGUGGAGGCUGAUGGACAUUACAGAGUGGAUUACAUGAUCCGCUGAUAACCUGCAGCUUGGCGACGUCGACAGAUCAAAUACACGAUGAUUAUAAGAAUGAUCACCCCAGCAAGAA